rnacentral:misc_RNA from 1 species
GAUGAAGAACGUAGCGAAAUGCGAUAAGUAAUGUGAAUUGCAGAAUUCAGUGAAUCAUCGAAUCUUUGAACGCACAUUGCGCCCUCUGGUAUUCCGGGGGGCAUGCCUGUUCGAGCGUCCUUAUAACCACUCAAGCUCUCGCUUGGUAUUGGGGUUCGCGGUUCCGCGGCCCCUAAAAUCAGUGGCGGUGCCUGUCGGCUCUACGCGUAGUAAUACUCCUCGCGAUUGAGUCCGGUAGGUCUACUUGCCAGCAACCCCCAAUUUUUACAGGUUGACCUCGGAUCAGGUAGGGAUACCCGCUGAACUUAAGCAUAUCAAUAAGCGGAGGA